rnacentral:rRNA from 1 species
UGGGGAAUUUUGGACAAUGGGCGCAAGCCUGAUCCAGCCAUGCCGCGUGAGUGAAGAAGGCCUUCGGGUUGUAAAGCUCUUUCGGUUGGGAAGAAAUUGCCUGGGUUAAUACCUCAGGUAGAUGACGGUACCAGCAUAAGAAGCACCGGCUGACUACGUGCCAGCAGCCGCGGUAAUUCGUAGGGUGCGAGCGUUAAUCGGAAUUACUGGGCGUAAAGCGUGCGCAGGCGGUGAUGUAAGACAGAUGUGAAAUCCCCGGGCUCAACCUGGGAACUGCAUUUGUGACUGUAUAGCUAGAGUACGGCAGAGGGGGAUGGAAUUCCGCGUGUAGCAGUGAAAUGCGUAGAUAUGCGGAGGAACACCGAUGGCGAAGGCAGCCUCCUGGGCUAGUACUGACGCUCAUGCACGAAAGCGUGGGGAGCAAACA